rnacentral:snoRNA from 1 species
UGGCUGUGAGGACAACCUGUGAAAUGAACAGCAAUGAUCACUUCAUACGCUAUUCUGAGCCAACA